rnacentral:lncRNA from 1 species
CUCUUUCCAAUACACAAAUCACGGGAACACCCAUCGACCCAAAAACAGUUCCCUUUCUUUCUUCUCCCUCUCCUCCACCACUCCAAAGGCUGAACCCUAGCCAACAAACUCCAACUACCCCUGCGCAACCCAUUUUCCCCCCACCCCGAAAAUCCUUCGAAUCCACUGUAACUGUGAAAACAGGCACUAGAAAAGUCAAGAUUUGGUCAAGACCGCCAUUAAUGGCUUCAAAGCUGAAAAUUUGAUUUAGCAAUUUGAAAAUUUAAAAUCUCCCUCCUUUCCUUCCCUUUUUUAUUUUUUUUUAUUUUUAUUUUUUAUUUUUAGGUUUCAAAUCCGGACUUUCAAGUCCGGACUUGUAUCUAUAAAUAGAGAGGCUUCUCCAUCUCCAGGAACAGAGGGAAAAUUCGAGAGAAAAGGCAAAAAGGGAAUAAAUUCGUGCGAACGAAUUCGUGAAAAGGAAAAAGUCAGUAGAAAAAGCAGGUCAACCAGUCGAGAAACGGUGAAAACAAAAGGAGUGACGAAUCGAUAUUUCCAAGUCGGAGUCCGGUGGUUGAGUUAUCGUCGCCAAAAUUCUCAACGUGGAAGCCUCAGUUUUGCUGCCCCACACAAAGUGAAAUUCUAUCUCGUCUAAUUAAAUGUUAUUUAAUCAUCGCAAUCUAUUGAUCGUUUGAGUUUGUUGGUUGAUCCUGGAUAUGAAUGUGAAGUAAAUAACGUUGGUCUAUUUUCUCUGUUCAUGUUAAGUGGUGUAUAAUGGUUUGAAGUUUAAGUUUUCAAAUGACAUUAGAUAUUUUUUUGCUAGUUGCGGAUAAAAACUCAAACAGUAGUUUUCGUGCCAUUUGAUAUAUUUGGCGAUAAUCUUAUAGACUGUGGAACAAACUCGGUGGAGCUUUGCGUUUCAGGACAUGUGCUUGAUAGGUUGUUCGGGGUUCAUUUUGAUGUCGGUUUAGUUUUUUUUUACGGGGUAACGAUAGCUUGGUUAUACACCAGUUUGGUUUGUGUAUUCAUAAGUUACCGACGAUUUUAAUUUCAUGUGGAAAAGAGCUCCAAAAGGCUUGAAACCUUACAAUGCUGGGCUAUCCGUCACAAUAGUUGUAUACCUUUUGUCCUGAAUUCUCAAACAUGUGUAGAUAGUUGCCUUUCUUGCUCAACACAUGGCUGCCUCGGGUCUAAACGCAUGAAGUAUUUGAACUCUCACUUUGUUUGUUUACACUAUUUCAUCUCAUUCUGUUUCGUUUACCUCGAUUAUGAGAAUAUGCAAUUUCGCGUAAAGUUGAUGAAACUUGUGUUGUUGUCGUCGAUUCUGGAUAAGUGGGUUCAUAUGUUGUUGUUGCUGGUUUGAGAAGUGGAUUUGGCGGUGAACACGUGAACUUUGGCUUCAAAUCUGGUUAUGGUGUUAUUAUUCAUUGUCUGCAAAUCGACUUUACAAUGUGGUUUCAUUUAAAGCAAUAUGUAUGGCAGAUUCUGCAUUUUAUUUUCUAAAAUGUGAGUUGGCGGAAACAUGAAAAUAUGUACUGUCCAGUGAACACUCUUUGUCAAGAAUUGGAUCAAAAUAGUGUCAGAUAAUUUCAACAAAUGAGUUUGUCAGAUUUUUCAUGAUUAAAAUGGUGAAAACGCAUGCACAUAGAGCACCUUCAGUGUGCAAUUUUUAUGUUAAAAAAAUAAACGGACGUUAAAUAUAUUACACUGAAGGUGCUCUACUUUUAUGAGUCUUCAGUGAAUCUUUUACAUUUUAAGGAAAGUCUCAUUGAUAGUCAUGAGCCUUCUGUGAAUUUUACAUUUUGAAGAAAGACUCAUUCCUUUCAAUGCACCUUCAAUAUAAAUUUUAUUAUCUCAAAAUCUGAAAAACUGUCAUCGUUUGAAUUGAUGGGACAAUAGAAGACUAUUUUUUCACACACUAAAGACUCAUCUGUAUAACGCAUUUUCAGUCAAAUUACAAAAACACUCGACUUCAUCUAAAAUUUACUAAAAUAAGAGAAAGUUUCUAUCUUUACCUGAGGUUCCUCCUUCACCAUUGUCAUUUUCUUCAAGAUAAAGAAGACCCUACAAGCUUUAUUUAACAUACUAAAAAACAAAGCUUCACAAUAUUAUUUGAAAGAUAAAAUUUAGAACGUGAAUCAUCAUCCAAAUUAGAAAAAGAUAACUUUAUGCUCUCUUUUUUCUUACAUUAGUUGUAGUCACUUUUAGAAUUUGUAUAGUAAUCUUUCAUCACAUUUUUUUUAUUAUAAUAUUAUUGGACUACUAUUAUUGCUUUUUUUCUUAUAAAAUAGCCUAUAGAAUAUUUUUAUAAUUUGAUUUAUUUUAAGUGCUCUUAGAAAUCAGUUAACUUUAUUUUUAGUUCUAGUUUGACCUUUGUGAUUUUUAAUAAGCUAGUCUUGGUAAUGUCACUAUUUAGCUUUCCAUACUCAAUGAUUUUUGAAUUAAAAAAACACAUACUUUAUAUUUUAGGUCUUAUGACACCACCUACUGUGCAUUCGGGUUCAUUUAUUUCGAGUGUCUUUGUAGGACAGAUUAGUCAUCGUAGUGAAGAUAUUUGAAAUAAUGGCACAUGUGACACAUUGACAUGUCAUCGGUAUGAUGGUGACUUUUGGGACUACAUAAGUAGAAAUCCAUUACAUGAGUCUGUGUGUCGUUACUUGUUCGAUGCUGAAUUUUAUGGUAUAUAUGCAGCUGGACACACGCCACUUGAUCACGCUAUAAUCAUUGUGUUGGUAGAAAGAUAGCAAUCAGAAACACACACAUUUCAUUUAAACUUUGGAGAGGUCAUAAUUACAUUGUAGGAUGUAGCUAUAUUAUAUGGGCUGUCAGUCGAUGGGUUAUCUGUGACGGAAAUAGAUUUUACCUUGGACCCUACAGAGUGGCAAAUACAUAUGGUAGAUCUUUUUGGUUGGGCACCGGUAGAUAUUGAUUGAGAAUUUCAAGAUGAUAGAUUGCUUAUGACUUCUUUGAUUAAACGUAUUACAAAUCUUUCUUUGAUUACUGAUGCGAUUUGUGAGGUUGAUGUUCAACAACGGGUACGUUUGUACUUGUUGUGGAUCAUUGGAAGCAUGCUUGUCGUUGACACAUCGAGUAGAAAAGUUAAGUUGAUGUAUCUACAUUUGCUUGCGGAUUUAUUCAAAGUUCGUCAAUAUGCUUGGGGUGCAGCAACACUUGCAAUACUUUAUGGAUACCUUUAUCGUGCAUCGCAAAAAGGAAUUAGAGUCAUUGGUGAUUUCUUACCUUUACUUUACCAAUUGUAUUGGAGCAGGUUGGAUGAAGUGGAGGCUCGUCUCGGGGGUGUUGUGUGAUAAUAAAGUGCCCCUUAAGCUUAAAGGAAAAUUCUAUAUAGUGGCAGUCCGUCCGGCCAUGUUGUAUGGCGUGGAGUGUUGGCCAGUCAAUCACUCCCACAUAUAAAAAGUGAGGGUGGCGGAAAUGAGGAUGCUGCGUUGGAUGUGUGGGCUUACUAGAGGGGACAUGAUUAGGAAUGAGAUUAUCCGGGAGAAGAUGAUAGUGGCGUCGGUGGAAGAUAAGAUGCGGAAAGGAAGACUGAGAUAGUUUGGACAUGUGAUGAGGAGGGGCGCGAAUGCCCCAAUGCGUAGGUGUGAGAUACUAGCGUUGGAUGGCUUCAGGAGGAUUAGAGAUAAGCCGAAGAAAUACUGGAGGGAAGUGAUCAGACAUGACAUUGAGCAGCUGCAACUUACUGAGGAUAUGGCCCUAGAUAAGAAGGUGUGGAGGUCGCGGAUAAGGGUAGAAGGCUAGCGGGAGGGUGUGGGUUGUAGCAAGCCACUAGGAGAGAUCUUGUGUAGCCGGGUUAGUAACCUUAGGUCUGUGUCUAUAGGUGUCUAUGGCGGCGAGUAUAUGUUACUUAUACGUAGGUGUCCCUUUCAUAUUUUCUCAGCUGCUAUCUGCUUAUUUCGUGUUGCCGUAUCUCUUGUAUUUUCGUAUUUUCGUAUUGCUCUGAUUUACUUUUUAUUAUUCCUUACGCCCUUUCUGUUAUGUAAUCCAUCUCCUUGUCGCAUAUUCUUUAUCUUGAGCCAGGGGUCUAUCAGAAACAACCUCUCUACUUCUUCGGAGGUAGCAGUACGAACUGCGUACAUCUUACCCUCCCCAGACCCCACUUUGUGGGAACACACUGGGUUUGUUGUUGUUGUUGUAAUGCAUUUUUAAUAUUCAUUUAUUGUAUUUAUAUGAAUAUGUGAAUGUAUGGAUAUAUGAGAGGAUUUUGCCUCUCAGGCCUCAGAGAGAUCCUAAUCUCCUAGUUGACGAGUGGCUUAUUUCUAUCCUUCUAGGACCUCCACGUGCUCGUGUAUGGUCUAAUGGGUUAUGCCACGAUACAAAAUCACCUCACCUAUUAUAUUUAUUUUGUGAUCAACUAGAUUUACUUAUAGAAUAUCAGGUAUUUUUACUUUUGAAUAAUUGUUUUAUCUAUUUUUUUAAAAACUUUUUAAGCUGUAAAAACUAACUAAAUUUAUACGUAUAUAGUUUGUGUGACAGUCAUACAGCCCCGAUGUUUUUGCUAUAUUAUCAGAUUAUUGUGUGAAUGAUUCCAGUAUUUGGUAUGCUAUUGUACCCAUAAUAGCUUGGGAUGCAGUUGGGUGGCACUAUCAAUAGAAAUAACCGGUCUACAUCUUUUAAAACUUUUUAUACAAGGUUUAUAUUCCCAGAAUAUAUAUUUAAAAACAUUUACCUUUGAUGUUGAUUCAUCGGUAUGCAUCCAUUCCACUACCGUUCCUGGAUUAAAAUGUUGAUGUGCAUUCAUGUACAUUGAAAAUUGUGUGAAUGAGUGAUCAAAGUUACCAUGCCUUUUUGUAGGAAGUUGUAUGUUUUAAUUCAACCUCAACAGUAGUCUAGACAUCAAUCACCUUGAAUUGAGGGUUAUUCCUUAGGAAAGGUAGCAACAAAAAAGCAAUCAAUUUAGAAUCCAAGUUAAAAUGAUCAACUUGGAUUACACCCAUUUGAUUACACCCAUUUGACAAGUAUGUUUGCCAUAAUAUUUUUCGAUAGUCCAUAAAUUUGUUGGUGUUUUUCGACCUCUCUAUUAUCCUGCAAACUCCAUAUUUUUACAAGCCCAGACUUAAGAUCUGACUCUUUAUCAUUUAACUAAAUUUUACAACUGCCCAGACUUAAGAUCCAAAUCUUUAUCAUUUAACUAAAUUUUACAUCCAACACCCUCUGAUUCAUGGGUAGAAGUAUACACUUCUGGACGAUCUUGAAGAUCAUUUAGAAAUGAAAUGUUCUCUUUUAUGGCACCUCAAUGACUGGUUGUUGAUCAUCGUCAUUAUUAUCACCAGAGUCACUCAUUUUAUCUGACUGAUAUGCAUCAUUUGGAGCAUCACUGUUAGAAUUAUUAUCCGCAUGAGUAUCAGCAUAGGCACUGUUAUAAACUAAAUGGGAGAGCCCAACCCAAAAGACUAGUCUAAUACGUGGGAGAACCCAUUUGGCUUAUAAUUUCCUUAGCAUUUAUCUAUUUUUUCAAUGUGGGACAAUUGGUUCAUAACAGACACCAACUUCUAUCCUAGCUUGUAUUUCAGAAACUCUUGAAAUCUCUGAAAUCUGAGAUAAAUUACUAGUUCCUGCACUAUCUCUAAAAUCAUAAUGACGAUAAUUAUCGACAUCAAAAUUUGCACUAAAAUCAGUACAUACGUGGCCAUAAUUAUCGGAUGAAAUAUCAAUUUGUAGUGUUAUACUCUGUGACAAGAAGCUCAUAAAAUUUUAAUAUUCUGAGAAAUUACUAGUCAUAUUUGUAGAUGAUUUAUAAAAAUCAGAUGGGGGUCAUUAAGAUUCAAAGAGGGUGUAGCAAAAUUUAAAGAGAGAGAAUUCAAAUUAUGUGUAGGUUCAACAAUAUUUAAUGCUUCUGUUUUAAUAUACAUCUCCAACAAAUCAAGAUUCAUCAUAUAACGCACCGUAUCAGGUGCCACUAUAAAACUCUUGCAAAGAUUAAUUAUCAAAUAUGGGGAUUUCAAAAUAACGAGCAUUACCCUGCACAGUUAAAAAUGACCAUCUACCUGAAAUAACAAGCCUUAUCUCAUUUGGACUAGUUUUCAUUCUAAUAUGCAAGUUUCUAACUAGCCAAUCAUACUCAAUAUUUAGUGAAAGUUUAACAACUGCACGAGCACCACAACUAUAUCAAACUGUAUCAGAUUCAUAUAUGACAUCACCGCCCCCAAUGCAAUGCAACUCUAACACGAGACUCAUUCAACAUUUUUAAACCUGUAAAAAUAACUUUAGUUAUUAAUAAAUUAUUUACUCAAUAGGGAGAGCAAUAUACUAAGAAAAAAUUACUAACUUUUUUUACUCCAAUUUAGAUUGAAGGAUACAUCAACUGUAAAGUAUAAUAGUUUUUGUGAAUUUAGUAAUAUACAUGACAAUGAAGAGGAUGUACGUAUAUAUAGAGGAACAAAAAAUAAUUUUGAAGACACUCUGCAUAAGAGUGUAUUUUUAAUUUGUUGGAAAGUGCAUUGCUGUCCAUAAGUCUUUAGGGUAUGAAAAAGUUAUCCCCUAUUGUUCCAUCAAUUCAAAAAAUGACAACCUUUUUCAGAUUCUUGAACAGUAAAUUUCACAGAAGGCUCAUGACGAUUAAUGAACCUUUCUUUAAAAUGUAAAACAUUUACUGAAGACUCGUGAGAGUAGAGCACCUUCAGUGUAAAUAUAUUUUAUUGAGAUGAAGAAAGGGGACCUCAGGUAAAGAUAAAGAUUUUGUGAAGUUGAGAUGAAGUGAAGAUAAAGAAUUUUUUUUUGGAAAAAACUCUCAAAGGUGUUUUUGUAAUUUGACUGAAGGUGCAUUGUAAAGAUGAGUCUUUAAUGUGUGAAAAAAUGGUCUUCUCUUGUCCCAUCAAUUCAGACGAUGACAGUCUUUUCAGAUUUCGAGAUACUAAAAUUUAUGUUGAAGGUGUAUUGAAGAAAAUGAGUCUUUCUUCAAAAAUGUAAAAUUCACGGAAGGCUCAUGACUAUCAAUGAGCCUUUCUUUAAAAUGUAAAAGAUUUACUGAAGACUCAUGAAAGUAGAGCACCUUCAGUAUAAAUAUAUUUAAUGUCUGUCUUUUUUUAACGUGAAAAUUGAACACUGAAGGUGCUCUAUGUUCAUGCGUUUUUACUAUUUUGGUCAUGAAAAAUCUUACAAACCCAUUUAUUGAAAUUGUCCUCUUUGUCCUCUUUUGUUGUUAUUGUUAGUUUGGUCUUAGAAGGAAUACUAAUACAAGUGUGAUUUACAUGGAAAAUAUAGUUAUUUAGUCUUCUCUCUUUCGACUUUUCUAAGGUGUUUUUCUGUAUAAGGGUGCAGGACCUUUUCUUUGUUAAACUAAUUAGAUUGGGUUGUGAUUAUUCAAGUCCAUAAUCUACCUGUAGCUUACAGAAUGUCACGCACUCUAUUUGAAAGAUUGAUAAGCACGUAAAGGGUCUGUUCAUUCUAACAUGGGGACUUCUCUAUUAUCUAGCUAGAGGUUUUGGCUUGCUUGUGUGUUGAAAUAUUUUUUUUUCCUUUCUCAUUUCAGCUCUCUCUCGGUGCUUGUGAUCUUAGUCCAGCUGACCAUAUGAAUGAUUUUUAAUUAACCAAUCCAAAGGCCUAUGCUUAUGUGUUGAAAUCUGUUGGGUCAUCUGAUGACUUAUGUCUCGUCCAAACUCAUUUAAUCGUUUGCUAGUUGAAAUACUCUUAACAAAUUCUGAAAAACUGUGUCUGCAGGGUCCAUAUUCACCCACUACUCGUAUGAGUUUUUCUACACACUUAAAUCAUGAAAUAUUUGGUAACAAAGAAGUGCAAUUUGCAUGUCUUAUAAGUAUCCUAGCCAUAUGUAUUGCUUUAUGAUGUCCAACCGGUACUAUAUAUGUUUAGUAAGCCAUUGAAAUAGUAUAGAUGUGUUUGGAUAGUUAAGCAUCUCACAACUUCAUCUCGAUUACGUAUUACGUGAGAAGUUUGUUUCUGAUAAUUUCUUAUUCAUCUAAAACUUGGAUGAUGGUGUGCAAACUAUUGAAUUAGUUAAGAUCUUGUUUGAGUUUAGAAGAUAACAAUCAAUUUCAAGGAGUAAAGGCCUCAAGAUCAAAACAUUAUCAUCAAAAGGGUUCACAAUGUAAAAUUGUAAAUAUAAAUUCAAAACUCUUUGUAAAUACAUGAUUUCAUAACUUUAAACCUUAUUCAAAACGUGUUCGAUAAGCCCAUGUAGUUUAGGAAAAUCCCACGUACCUUAUGUUGUUUAACUUGAAGAUUGAAACCCAACUCUUGACCCUUUUCUUGAAAUCGUGAACUUAGAGGAAACCCUAAUUUGUUUUUGUUCUUGAAAGUGGAGAGGAUUUGAGAUGUUGUAAAAGUGAUAAAAUUUGAUUAAUAAUGUUUAGGGUGUAAUUUAAUUUGUGGGGUAAGGUUUUAGGGUGAGGAAAAGACCAAAGUACCCCUAAAGAAACCAAAGAAAAUCGUAGAAUUCUUCAGUUGACGGCCAAGGUUGAUGACCCGUCAGUUAGGUGACGGCUCGUCACCCUAAGUAGUCACUUUCAGCUUGAAUUUACCCCUUACUGUCCUAGGCUGACGACUAGAGCUAAUGGGUCGUCACUUAUUUGACGGCUCGUCAACUUUAGUCGUCACCUAGUUGAUAACUCGUCAACUUCGUCGUCACUUUUUGGAAGUCAGCCACUCCAAAGUAAAAUGAACAUAACUUUCUACUCCGACAUCAUAUUAAGGUGAACCAGUUGCGUUGGAAAGAGGACUCGAAGAUCUUUCUUUUGAUAUAUAGGACACGUAACUCAUUAUGUACAGGGAGUAAUGGUCGAUGAAAGUUGACUCAAGCUGAAACAUUCAAUAAAACGUAAUAGAUAGAAACGUUCUCAACUCGUCUUCGAGUUAGGAGAUAUUCGUGACCUAAAUUCAUAUCCAAAGGUAUUCCCACACUAUAAAAUUGAUCAUAACACAUAUAUUAAUAGAGAAUCAUUGGGUUUGGGUCUAUACGUAUAGGAACGACGAUUUGAAAUCUAGCCCGAAAAAUACAGGGUGUUACAAUAUUGGUGGUGCAAGGUACAAAUCUAGACAUUGUAACGCAAUAAUGAAAAGGUAAAAGACCAAGGCUGUGCUCCGAUUGACGGAAAUGUUUUUCCCCAAAAAUAUUUCUUAGAUAAUGAUUUUUUUUCGAAAAUAAGCGAGUGGACUAUGUUUCUUGCGAUUUAUGGGUUCUUACAGCGACCUCAUGUCAAUGUACUAUAGAGGUUCUUAAUAAUUUUUUUUUAAAAUAUUUAGUGGAUUUUCUAAAUGUAUAUACAUGAUCUAGUAAAAGUUACUGGUUCCGUGAACCCCUAGUUCAUCGAUAUCUUUGUCGUGCUAAUUUGGGCAGUUUAAUUCGAUGCUGAAACUCGUAUCAAUUCCUCAUAAUCUGUUUUUAUUUAGCGUAUGAGGUAAUCUUGAACUUUGUAACCUUUUGCAGUUUUCUCUUCUGUACUGCUUUAUCAGUAAAAUGUACUUGGAUAAAAAAAGAAGGAAUGUCUAUAUCAUUAAAUAACUUAAGGUUUUGAACCAGAUGAGAUUGUUGAGGACUCUCACAACAAGUAUAUAUUUUUCACGAGCACAAUCAGGUUAGGUGAUGAUUAAGCAACAUAUAUGAUCUCUGAAUAUGUGGUUAUGUCCGUCCAAAAGACGAUAACUAUACAAACUACGCGGUCUGAUGCAAAUUCUUGGUCAUAAUCUGGAGGCGAUGGAACAAAAUUGGGCAUUUAUAGAAAUUUAAUUUUCCAUGUUUUUGGUCUGGAUCAAGUUAAAUGUGGCAGUUUCAAUUCUCUGCAAAACAUAAAUUUCAACAUAUAAUAUUACUCUUCAUUUUCUUAAAACAAAAGAACGUGUGAUAGGAACAUGAUGAAAAUAAAUUUAAGAAGGAGAUCCACGUCUCAUGUUUAAAGAGAAUAUAAAAAAAUAGUUCACGUGAUCCUUAAAACUUCACAAAAUAGAAGAUGUCACACUCCCUUUUUCAUACUCCAAAAAAGAUUAAUUCUAAAGUUUUGAAAGGAUUUUUAUUGUUAAAGUGACAAAAGUGAAGAUUUGUUUCGAAAAGGACUUUUUAUAUUUAAAACUCAGAGUCGCCACUUGGCAUAAUCCGGUGUGCCAAGUCACCUUUGGACAAUCCUUUUCAAAACAAUUUGACUCUUUAAAACUGGUUUGCAAACAGAGAUUCCGGCUAAGGAAUUCUGUUGACCGAGGGGAAGGUGUUAGGCACCCCUCGAUCCCGUGGAUUGACCACGGUCGCUUGGUGGAGCGUAUCGACUGAUUUGACACUAAAAACGUAUAAACCACACAAAAACACACAAAACAAUCAAACAAACAAAAAUAAAACAAUCUGAAAAUAUAGUGUCCAGUCCGAAUUAUACAGUCCCAAAAAUAUAAAAAUACAAAAAUGUAACUCCUAUUCUAAACUAAUUCUAAACUAUUCUCCAAUACCUUACCCGAUGCGUCGGGCCUUGAUCACGAACAUCCUCCGAAUACAAAAUACUUCGGGGCAUUCCCCGGCCAAAUGAUACACUUGAUCCAAAUAAGAUAACAAAAAAAAGUUCAAAACACACAUUUAAACAUUCAAGGCAUUCAAUCAACACAUCACUCCUAAAUUUUUGCCUACCCAAACCUAUAUUGCCUAUUCAUUUCACCAUAUCGUAAAUCUAUCACGUUCAUGCUUAUCCCGAAUUAAAGAAAAUGGCAACGGAACAAAAUUUAACUACAAUCAACUUCUAUCAAAUUCUUAAUUACACCCCUAAAUUCAUUCUCAACUAAUGAUUAACCUAGCUUCGAUUAUCAAUUCAAUUUCUCGCACCCAAAUUCAACAUCAACCAGCAUCAACCAUACACACAGUAAAGGCUCAAGCAUGAUAAGCAUACCAAAACAUUCACGUCUGCAAGAACAAUCAAAAUUUGAGAUAAAAAUAGAGAAUGAAAGAAAUGGACCUCAAGUUUCUCUUUCAAAAUCAAUGUAUUAUUUCAAUUAAAUCCGACUUCUCCACAUCCGAAGCCUUUGAGUCGAACCUCAACAGCAGACCCAGUCCAAACUCGGUACUACCAAAAUUAAAACCCCGAACUGACCACAAUGAUCCAAUAUCUCGCUAAAAUCUAACGGAAAAUCAAACACCCGCAAGGUUCAAACUCCGAUGAGUCAUCGGUGAUGCAGACGACCAGAACAACCAGUCGCCGGACGGAUUCCAUCUGAAAUUGAAGAACAACGGAGGGAGGUUUGACCGUUUUAUACGAAUGACGAACGGAAGGGAUGACUCCGGCGAAUCUAUUGCCAGAACAGUAACCCGAAAUCAACCCUGCUUCCUUCUUCGUUAUGGAUCUAGACCUCUCUCACUCUAUCUCCCUCCCAUUCUCGAAUCUCUCUCUCUCUUUCUCUUCUCCCUCUCAUGAUCUUUCUCUCAAUCUCUCUGUGUGUCAUUUUCUAUUUUGUGAUGAGAAAACCAUGUGCGAAGCCUUUUCCGAUGACAACCAGUGUGUGAUAUAGAUUUAUGUGUUCUUAGUGGAAUCAGAUGGUGAGUAUGGGUAUGGUCAUGAAUGAAAAAUGAAGCUCUACCAUUGUUGUGAUAUGCGUGUAUGGUAUUUUAGUGGUGUCAGGUGGGUGUUAAUGGUGGAGUGAUGGUUUUGUCAUGGUGUUAAUGGAGUGUGUGCGAUGGUGCUGAUUGUGAGGGAAUUUUGUGAAGGUGUCUGUGGUAAUUGUAUAUUCCUUUUUAUUUGUGAGAGUGUAUAUAUAUUAUAUUUUGUUCCCUUAAAACAAAAUGGUUCCUUGUGGGCUUUCCUGGAAGUUUCCUAGUGGGCCCCUUUCUAAUUUUUAUCCCUUUUUGCCUUUGUGGACAAGAAAUAUGAGGGGGAGGGGGUCACGUGGGUAUGGGGUAUUGGGGGUAGGGGUAUGGGUAAUUUGUCUUCUUUUAAUUGAAAGGGUUGUUAGGAUGUUAAAAGAAUAAAAGUUUGUUAGGAAUUUUGUUGAGAGUUAUUUUUUUGUAUUUUUAUGGGAUGUAAUUACAUGGGAGAGGGUACACGGUAGGAUAAGGUAAAAAUGGAGAAAACGAUAUCGGGGAGGGACGAAAUUACAUGUCUACAUCAUGCUCCCUUUGAAUGUAAACACGCAGUGUUUUCAGACAAAGAAGUAAACAACGAGACCAAAUUUUAUCUCGAUCAUUAUUCAAAGAGAGGAGUAAAAGAAAGAAAGACAACCGAAUCCUUUAGGACACCCUACCUACCCAAGUCAUGAGGAAGUUAAGUGAUAGGUGUUUCAAAGGAUUGGAAAGAGAUGGACUAUACCGAGUUGGAGAGUCGAGUGAGGUUCCAUAGAGGUUUCAAAACACACAUUUAAACAUUCAAGGCAUUCAAUCAACACAUCACUCCUAAAUUUUUGCCUACCCAAACCUAUAUUGCCUAUUCAUUUCACCAUAUCGUAAAUCUAUCACGUUCAUGCUUAUCCCGAAUUAAAGAAAAUGGCAACGGAACAAAAUUUAACUACAAUCAACUUCUAUCAAAUUCUUAAUUACACCCCUAAAUUCAUUCUCAACUAAUGAUUAACCUAGCUUCGAUUAUCAAUUCAAUUUCUCGCACCCAAAUUCAACAUCAACCAGCAUCAACCAUACACACAGUAAAGGCUCAAGCAUGAUAAGCAUACCAAAACAUUCACGUCUGCAAGAACAAUCAAAAUUUGAGAUAAAAAUAGAGAAUGAAAGAAAUGGACCUCAAGUUUCUCUUUCAAAAUCAAUGUAUUAUUUCAAUUAAAUCCGACUUCUCCACAUCCGAAGCCUUUGAGUCGAACCUCAACAGCAGACCCAGUCCAAACUCGGUACUACCAAAAUUAAAACCCCGAACUGACCACAAUGAUCCAAUAUCUCGCUAAAAUCUAACGGAAAAUCAAACACCCGCAAGGUUCAAACUCCGAUGAGUCAUCGGUGAUGCAGACGACCAGAACAACCAGUCGCCGGACGGAUUCCAUCUGAAAUUGAAGAACAACGGAGGGAGGUUUGACCGUUUUAUACGAAUGACGAACGGAAGGGAUGACUCCGGCGAAUCUAUUGCCAGAACAGUAACCCGAAAUCAACCCUGCUUCCUUCUUCGUUAUGGAUCUAGACCUCUCUCACUCUAUCUCCCUCCCAUUCUCGAAUCUCUCUCUCUCUUUCUCUUCUCCCUCUCAUGAUCUUUCUCUCAAUCUCUCUGUGUGUCAUUUUCUAUUUUGUGAUGAGAAAACCAUGUGCGAAGCCUUUUCCGAUGACAACCAGUGUGUGAUAUAGAUUUAUGUGUUCUUAGUGGAAUCAGAUGGUGAGUAUGGGUAUGGUCAUGAAUGAAAAAUGAAGCUCUACCAUUGUUGUGAUAUGCGUGUAUGGUAUUUUAGUGGUGUCAGGUGGGUGUUAAUGGUGGAGUGAUGGUUUUGUCAUGGUGUUAAUGGAGUGUGUGCGAUGGUGCUGAUUGUGAGGGAAUUUUGUGAAGGUGUCUGUGGUAAUUGUAUAUUCCUUUUUAUUUGUGAGAGUGUAUAUAUAUUAUAUUUUGUUCCCUUAAAACAAAAUGGUUCCUUGUGGGCUUUCCUGGAAGUUUCCUAGUGGGCCCCUUUCUAAUUUUUAUCCCUUUUUGCCUUUGUGGACAAGAAAUAUGAGGGGGAGGGGGUCACGUGGGUAUGGGGUAUUGGGGGUAGGGGUAUGGGUAAUUUGUCUUCUUUUAAUUGAAAGGGUUGUUAGGAUGUUAAAAGAAUAAAAGUUUGUUAGGAAUUUUGUUGAGAGUUAUUUUUUUGUAUUUUUAUGGGAUGUAAUUACAUGGGAGAGGGUACACGGUAGGAUAAGGUAAAAAUGGAGAAAACGAUAUCGGGGAGGGACGAAAUUACAUGUCUACAUCAUGCUCCCUUUGAAUGUAAACACGCAGUGUUUUCAGACAAAGAAGUAAACAACGAGACCAAAUUUUAUCUCGAUCAUUAUUCAAAGAGAGGAGUAAAAGAAAGAAAGACAACCGAAUCCUUUAGGACACCCUACCUACCCAAGUCAUGAGGAAGUUAAGUGAUAGGUGUUUCAAAGGAUUGGAAAGAGAUGGACUAUCCCGAGUUGGAGAGUCGAGUGAGGUUCCAUAGAGGUUUCGGUCCGCGGCUCUGUCAUUACAUCAAAAUGAAGAUUACAAGUUAAAACAUAAAUGAGAUUACAAAAAUCCUAUCUAUGCAGCAUUCCUUGACUCCCGACUCGAGUUUUAUCACUCUAUUCUUCAUGUGGGCUCCUGAUUUGCAAUUUCUUUCAUCUUGUUGCUUAGCUUUCAAUUUCAUCACCCUAUUCUUCAGGCGGGCUCCUGACUUGCUGUUUUUCAAUCUGUUGACUCUCAAUUCCUUCACUUUGUUGCUUGGCUUUCAACUUCUUCACUUUGUUGCUUUGACUUUCCAUUUAUUCGCCCUAUGCUUCGGACGGGCUCCUGACUUGCUAUUUUUUUGACUUUCGAUUUCUUUACCUUGUUGCUUGGCUUUCAUCUUCCUCACCCUGUUCUUCAUGCGGACUCCUGACUUACAAUUUUAUCACCCUGUUUUCAGGCGGGCUCCUGACUUGCAAUUUCAUCACCCUGUUCAUCAGGCGGGCUCCUGACUUGAAUUUUAUCAUCCUAUUCUUUAGGCGGGCUCCUGAAAUCAAAAUCAAAACUAGAACGAAAAUAUCUCAAACAAAGAUUAUAAUAAGGAAAGAUUUCAUUUUUCUGAAAAUAAUGUCGCAUUUUCCAGCAGAGUCCCAAACAGAAGUAAAAUCCCAUUUUUCAGGUGGGUCCUAAACAGAAGUAAAAUCUCAUUUUUCAGGAAGUUCCUGAACAGAAAUUAAAGUCCCAUUUUUCAAGAGGGUCCUAAACAUAAAGUAAAAUCCCAUUUUUCAGGAAGGUCCUGAACUUGAAGUCAAUUUACAUUUUCCAGGAGGGUCCUGAACUAAAAGUAAACUCCCAUUUUUCAGGAGGGUCCUAAACUGAAAGUAAAAUUCCAUUUUUUAGAAGGGUCCUAAACAUAAAGUUUAAUCUCAUUUUUCAGGAGGGUCCUGAACAUAAAGUAAAAUCCUAUUUUUCAGGAGGGUCUUGAACAGAAAGUAAAAUCCCAUUUUACAGGAGGUCCUGAAUAGAAAGUAAAGUCCCAUUUUUCAGGAGGGUCCUGAACAUAAAUUAAAAUUCCAUUUUCAGGAGGGUCCUGAACAAAAAAUAAAUUCUCAUUUUUCAGGAGGGUCUUGAAUAUAAAGUAAAAUUCGAUUUUCCAGGAGGGUCCUGAACAGAAAGUAAAAUCUCAUUUUUCAGGAGGGUCCUGAACAGAAAGUAAAAUUCCAUUUUUCAGGAGGGUCCUAAAUAGAAAGUAAAGUCCUAUUUUUCAGGAGGGUCCUGAAUAGAAAGUAAAGUCCCAUUUUUCAGGAGGGUCCUGAACAGAAAUUAAAAUCCUAUAUUUCAGGAGGGUCCUGAAUAGAAAAUAAAUUCCUAUUUUUCAGGAGGGUCUUGAACAGAAAGUAAAAUUUCAUUUUUCAGGAGGGUCCUAAACUGAAAGUAAAUUUCCAUUUUUUAGGAGGGUCCUGAACUGAAAGUAAAUUCUUAUUUUCAGGAGGGUCUUGAACAGAAAUUAAAGUCCCAUUUUUCAGGAGGGUCCUGGACAAAAAGUAAAAUCUCAUUUUCUAGGAGAGUCCUGAAUAGAAAGUAAAAUCCCAUUUUACAGGAGGGUCCUGAACAUAAAGUAAAUUCCCAUUUUUCAGGAGGGUCCUGAACAUAAAGUAAAGUCCCAUUUUUCAGGAGGGUCCUAAACAGAAAUUAAAAUCUCAUUUUUCAGGAGGGUCUUGAAUAGAAAUUAAAAUCCCAUUUUUCAGGAGGGUCCUGAACAGAAGUAAAAUCUCAUUUUUCAGGAGGGUCCUAAACAUAAAGUAAAGUCCCAUUUUUCAGGAGGGUCCUGAACAGAAAUUAAAAUCCUAUUUUUCAGGAGGGUCCUGAAUAGAAAGUAAAAUCCCAUUUUCCAGAAGGGUCCUGAACAGAAAGUAAAAUCCCAUUUUCCAGGAGGGUCCUGAACAUAAAGUAAAAUUCCAUUUUUCAGAAGGGUCCUAAAUAGAAAGUAAACUCCUAUUUUUCAGGAGGGUCUUGAACAGAAAGUAAAGUCCCAUUUUUCAGGAGGGUCCUGAACAUAAAGUAAAGUCCCAUUUUUCUGGAGGGUCCUAAACAUAAAGUAUAUUCCCAUUUUUUAGGAGGGUCCUAAACUGAAAGUAAAAUCCUAUUUUUCAGAAGGGUCCUGAACAUAAAGUAAAAUCUCAUUUUUCAGGAGGGUCUUGAAUAGAAAGUAAAAUCUCAUUUUUCAGGAGGGUCCUGAACAGAAUAGUAAAAUCCCCAUGGAUGUGUUUUUCCAAUGGUAAUUGAAUUAAGCAAGGUGAAUUUUCCUAUGUUUCAACAAAGAAAUUAUGUCAGUUAAAAACUUAGUAGUGGCUUGCAACACUUGGCUUCUCAGGCAUCUGCCCCAACCAUUGUUCCUUUCACCUUUGUUUCAGAUAGCUGAAACUUGCCCCUGUCUUGUCGCGUCAUUGACCCGGAUCCAAAUUGAGGGAAAUGAGUUCUGACUCAAAUAAUGAAUUUUCAUUUUACCAUGCCUCUGAGAUGCACCGUUUUUCGAAUCUGAAUACUUCUACGAACCCAACAGCCUGUCGGUUGAUAGGCUUUGUUUGCUUUGUGUUGAAUUACUAUCAUAUCUCUUUCAUAUGUUAGUCCUCGGCUUUUCCUUAUACAAUUGGAAAGACUGAUAGCAAGUUUUAAAAUCUUUUCUUGCUUGUUUUGACACAGACUCGACUCCAAAUGUAAAGAAAUGAUGUUGACUUUAUUUUGAUAAAUGACAUAAAAAGACAAAAAUAUGAAUAUGUAAAUGAAAUAAAAGGGCAAUGUCCCUUAGUCAAAAAUAAAACUUAUCUGAAUAUGACAACCAACUCCAAUGAGUAUGACAUGCAUUUUGGAUUGAGCUGCCUGAUCUUCCUAUCCAAACUUCCCUUUUGUUGUUGAGUUCAUGCCUUUGCCGCGGAGCCGCUUCUUCAAACCCAUUGGACUCAUAUAUCUCAUUCAAUUGACGCCAUCUUAAAAGACUUUCGCCAACAAAUCUCUUUUCUUUUCACUUUUCUCUUAAACUCUCCAUCUCCUUACGGUACCCGUGAGGGUUUUCACUAAUAAGACUCUCUCAUUUUUAUUUCUCUCAACUCCCCAUCGGAUUACGGUGCCCGUGAGGGUUUUCACCAAUAAGACUCUCAUUUUAUUUCUCUCGACUCACCAUCGCCUUACGGUGCUCGUGAGGGUUUUCACCAAUAAAAAUCUCUCAUUUUAUCUCUUUCCAGAUUUCUUAGGCUGAGGAAGAGAAGUAGUACCCCACAAUGUAUCAUCAUAUCCAUUGCAUGCUUAACCUUAACAUUAUCAAAAAUUUAUCUGAAGGACUUUAUUUGGUUGUAACUUGGCUUUUGGAUAAGGUUAGAAAAGGAUGGCAAGAGGCUCAAAUGACACUUGAAGUGGGGGUGAGACUUACAACUUUUUGAAUCGACUCAAACAACACAUUAACUCAUGCCCCAAUUUUGGCUGACUGGGUGACUUUAAAAAUUUUAUUUGGUUGGACCGAGCCCUGAAUAGGGCAGCCUACGUAUCUCACUCCCAAGAGAGGAGAAUUAGGUCGCACGUAGUUCCAGCAGAUUGUUCUUUGUUUUGAUUUGAUUUUUUUCUUUUAUCGAACUCUUUCUUUUAUUCUUAUUUUCUUGACAUUUAUCUUUGACUCUAUUUUGAUUCCAAAAGAGGGAUAUGGAACAAAAAUAAAACGAAGCUCAACCGGGUAAACAAAGUAUAACACAAUAUUUGGAUAGAAGAAUAAAAUGUCUUUAUCAUAUCAAUCUUCAAAAAUGCAAGUACUAAACAUGCAAUAAAAUCAACAGAGGAUAAAAUAUCAUACAUAAUAUCUUUUGACCGCAUCAGCAUUGAUAGCCAUUUCUGCCAUUUUGCCUUCAAUAUUUGUCAAAUAUAAGGCUCUAUUGGGCAACACUUUCUUCACAAUGGAGGGACCUUGCCAGUUUGAGGAGAACUUGACUUUCUCUUCAACCUAGUGAGGAAGGAUACGCUUUAAUACCAUCUGACCGACAUCAAAAUUCCUGGGUCAUACCCUUUUGUUAUACGCUCGAGCCAUUCUCUUCUGAUACAAUUGGCCAUGGCAUACCGACGUUAGCCUUUUUUCCUCAAUCAAACUCAAUUGUUCCAGUCGGGUUUUGACCCACUCGUUAUCAUCAAUCUCUGCUUCCAUAAUGAAUCGAAGAGAGGGAAUUUCAACUUCUAUAGGAAUGACUGCUUCUGUCCCAUAGACCAAUAAAUAUGGAGUUGCCCCUGUUGAAGUGCGACUGUAGUGCGAUAACCUAGAAAUGCAAAUGGCAACAUCUCAUGCCAUUGUCUAGACCCUUGUACCAUUUUCCGCAGUAUCUUCUUGAUAUUCUUAUUGGCGGCUUCCACAACACCAUUGGCCUUCGGACAAUAUAGAGUGAAAUUUCGAUGUGCGAUCUUAAACUGUUGGCACACUUCUUGCAUCAAAUGACUAUUGAGAUUGGCAGCAUUGUUCGUAAUAAUCAUCUUUGGAAUUCCAAACCUACAAAUGAUGUUGGGAUGAACAAAAUCUACCAUCGCUUUCUUUGUUACUGACUUGAAAGUUACUGCUUCUACCCACUUUGUAGAGUAAUCAAUGGCCACCAAAAUAAAUCUAUGCCCAUUUGACGCUUUCGGCUCAAUCGAUCCAAUCACGUCCAUCCCCCAAUCUAUAAACGGCCAUGGAGCAGCCAUUGCGUGCAACUCAGUAUGAGGAGAAUGUAUCAGAUCACCGUGUACCUAACAUUGAUGACACUUUUGAACAAAUCAAAUAGAAUCUCUCUCCAUAGUAAGCCAGUAAUAACCUGCUCGAAGAAUCUUCUUUGACAAGACAUAACCAUUUAUAUGCGGCCCGCAUACUCCAGAAUAUAUUUCAACCAUGAUUGCCGAGGCUUCUCUUUCAUCUACACACCUCAAAAGUCUCAGAUCUGGGGUUCUCUUAUAUAAGAUUCCCCUUCUUAAGAAAAAUCGGCUAGCCAAACGCCUAAUAGUUCUCUUUUGACCACUGGUGGCAUGUGAUGGGUAGUAUCCUGGUUGAAUGUAUCGCUUGAUAUCAAAGAACCAAGGUUCGCCAUCAGGAUCUUCUUCUUCAAUUUCAUUACAAUAAGCGUGUUGAUCAUGACUCUGGAUAUGCACUGGAUCGAUGCAGGCUUUAUCAGGAUGUUGGAGCAUUGAAGACAGAUUGGCUAAAGCAUCAGCAAUCUCAUUAUGAAUCCUUGGAAUAUGCCUAAAUUUUACUGACACGAACCAUUGAUGGACGAGCAAAUCUGAAUCCCCAACACUAAUAGCUCCUGGACUCCCAUAUCGAUAGCUAACCUCAAACCGAGAAUGCAAGCUUCGUAUGCCGCUAUGUUGUUGGUACAAUAAAAUCAAAGUUGUGUUGUUACCGGGAAAUGUUUCCCCACUUCAGAGAUAAGAACUGCACCUACUCCCAUUCCUUUUAUGUUGACAGCUCUAUCGAAGAACAAUUUGCAACCUGGAUCCGUAUCUAUAACGACUUUAUCAACACACAAUACUUUUUCAUCAGGAAAAUAUGUCUUUAAUGGCUCGUACUCUUCAUCGAUAGGAUUCUCAGCAAGAUGAUCUGCCAAGGCUUAGUCUUUCAUGGUUGUUCGAGUCACAUAUACAAUGUCAAACUCGGUAAGCAAUAUUUGCCACUUUGCCAAUCGACCUGUCGGCAUAGGUUUCUAAAAAAUAUACUUCAAAGGAUCCAUGCGGGAGAUGAGAUAAGUAGUGUAGGACGAGAGAUAAUGCUUCAACUUCUGUGCUACCCAAGUUAGGGCACAGCACGUCCUUUCAAGAAGAGUAUACCUAUCCUCAUAUGUGGUGAACUUCUUGCUAAGAUAAUAAAUAGCCUGCUCUUUCUUGCCUGUGACAUCAUGUUGACUCAGGACACAACCGAAUGAAUUAUCCAUGACUGAUAAAUAUAAGAUCAAAGGCCUACCAGGCUCCGGUGGUUCCAGCACGGGCGGAUUUAACAAAUAUCUUUUGAUUCUGUCGAACGCUUCCUGGCAUUCUUCAGUCCAUUCUACCGCAUCACUCUUUUUCAGCAACUUGAAUAUGGGCUCACAAGUGGUUGUGAGUUGAGUAAUAAAUCUACUAAUGUAGUUCAGUCUACCAAGCAAACUCAUCACCUCUAUCCUAUUCUUGGGCGGGGGCAAAUCUUGAAUGGCUUUGAUUUUUGAGGGAUCUAAUUUAAUUCCUCGACGGCUGACUACAAACCCCAACAGAUUUCCAGACGGAACUCCAAAUACACAUUUUGCCCCUUUCAAAGAACUUUCUUAAAUCUUUAACAUGGUCAGCCUGACUUUUUAACUUAAUAAUCAUAUCAUCCACGUAGACCUUAAUAUCUUUAUGCAUCAUAUCAUGAAACAUAGUGGUUAUGGCUCUCAUGUAUAUUGCUCCAGCAUUCUUCAAACCGAACGGCAUCACUCGAUAAUAAUAGGUCCCCCAUGAUGUGAUAAAAGAUGCCUUCUCUAUGUCUUUAUUGUCUAUAAUGAUCUGGUGGUAUCCGGCAUAGCAAUCCACAAAAGAGGCAACCUCAUGUUUAGCGCAGUUGUCCAAUAAAAUAUGGAUUUUGGGCAUCGAAAAAUCAUGUUUCGGACUUGCUCUGUUCAAAUCAUGAUAAUCAACAUAUACUCGAAUUUUGUCAUCUUUCUUUGGGACAGGAACAAUAUUUGAUAACCACGUGGUAUAGCGAGCCACUCGAAUUACUUUAGCUUCUAGUUGUUUUAUGAUUUCCUCUUUGAUUUUAAUACUUACAUUAGUUUUAAACUUCCUCAACUUCUGUUUAACAGGAGGGAAUGUGGGAUCAGUUGGCAAUUUGUGAGCUACUAAUUCAGUGCUUAAACCAGGCAUAUCAUUAUAAGACCAUGUAAAAACAUCCUUAUAAUCAAUUACUGCUUGAAUCAUUCCAUAUUUUAGCUGUGGCAAAACAUGUACACUGAUUUUAGUUUCCCUAACAUCUUCUUGAUUCCCUAAAUUUAUUGGCUCAGUCUCAUUCAAAUUAAGAUUCGGUUUGUCUUCAAACUGUUCCAACUCUUUGCUUAUUUCUUCUAGUGCUUCUUCUUCAUCAUAUUCCCCAUCCUACUUCGUUACAUAUUGAUUAGUUUGAAUUUUAAGAUUAGGCUAAAAAUUCUACAUGCAUGUCAUGUCAUUAGAAUCAUCAUAAAGAGAACUGUAUAAAAAAAGAGAACAACAAAAUAUAUUAGACACAAAACAAAAGGGAUAUUACAUUUCAUUAAAAGAAAAGAUAGGAGGGUUUAAACAUAAAUGCUAACAUAACAUAAACAAACUAAAAAUCUAAAUUACAACCCUAAAAUAACUCAGAUAAACAGAAAAAAAAACAAAACAAACUACUAAAACUCCCUCCUGACGGGGAGAGGAGUGACUUCCCAAUUGUUGAGCCGAACAGCUGGACCUAUGAAUUGCACGUCUGCCUUACUAGUAACCUCUCCUUAUUUGACCAUAUCAACUUUAAUAAAAAGAUUCUGGAAGUCAUCAAUUAAUUUAGCUUAAAAUUCUACAUGCUUUGUGAUACCGCUCUUAACAAAUGAUUCACUGAGUAGUAGCAUUGGGCGAGGGAGUACCCAUGUUUCAUUUUUCCUUCCCUUGGAUUUCUUUAGAUCUUCAAUCGUGGGCUCGAAUUCCAGACCAAAAGAGCCCAUGUUCUUACUUAGACAUAUGGGACGAACUAUACCAUGCAGAGACGCUUCCAAACCCCUUCCUGGCUCAAAUUCAUAUUUCAAAAGUUCACUCACCAUCAUGAUAGAAAGGAAUACAAUUUUGAUCCCGGUAUAACCUGCCCUUCAAAUAUAUGAUUUACUGGCACUGCAUCAAAAAUUUGAUAGACAAAUGUCUCCUCUACAUUAUUUGCUUCAAUAAGAGACAAGAGAGAAUCUUCGCAGGCGGACAAAUCUCCUUUCCCAUGAAUAAUCACUUCUUUCCUGUCAUGCUCAAACUUAAUCAUCUGGUGCAGUGUAGAUGCAACCGCCUUGGCCUUGUGGAUCCACGAUUUUCCCAAUAAUAGAUUGUAAGAGGAGUCUAUAUUCAAUACUUGAAACUCUAUGAUGAACUCAAAAGGCCCUAUAAUCAACAUUAGUUCUAUUUCGCCAAUGGAGUUUGAUUUCGCACCAUCGAAAGCCUUGACACAUACAUUGUUGGGCCUGAUCCUCUCAGCACUAAUAUUCAACUUUUGCAAAGUAGAAAUAGGGCAGAUAUUUGCACCUGAACCUCCAUCAAUCAUAGAAUGAGUGACUAGAAAUCUUCGCACUUCACAAUAAUGUAAAGGCCCCAGUUAUGCCCCGUACCUUUAAUAGGUAAUUCAUCGUCGGAGAAGCUGAUCCGAUUGACCUCAAAGAUUUUUUUCGACCAUUUUCUGAAGCUGAUUUACUGUAAUCUCCCUAGGAACAUAUGCUUCAUUUAAUACCUUCAGUAUAAUAUCACGAUGUUCCUUAGAGCGCAACAACAAAGAUAAGAGGGAAGUUUAAGCAGGGGUUUUCUUCAACUAGUCUAUUAUUGAAUACUCAGGCAAUUUCAUCUUUUUAAAAAAUUCUUCGGCUUCUUCUUCGGUGACCGACUUUUUGAUAGAUGAAGGUCCACUCACAAUUGGCUUGGACUUUCUUAAACUUUUAGGCACGAAGUAUUUUCCUGACCGAGUCAAACCCCCUACCUCAUCUACAUCUUCCACUACUUCCUUCCUGUGAUAGGUCAUCAUAGUCCGCCCAUAGUUCUAGGGAACCCUUUUCGUAUCAACUAUUGGAGGUUCGGUCACCGGUUUGAGGACAAUAGGCACUGCCAAUGCUCCUUUCACCAUCAAGAUGGGCUUACUCCGUGCUCCUAUCACCGUCAACUUAGGCUUAUCCCAACUUAAACCAACAUACCUUCUAGAACCUUGUACUGUGAUAGUGGUUUCUUUGUACUUUCUGGGGCUUUAUCUUCUCUCAUUCCUUCCUGGUUCAAUGACAUUGCUUUCAAAGACUCUGCUAUGUUCACCGAUUUCUCUUCAUUGGUCUGUAUAUUGAUAAUAGGCUUAUAACACCUUGACGAUUAUUUUCCAUCAUAUAUCAAUUCUAACAUAUUGGUUUCAGCAUAGGUUGGCAGUGGAUUCUGAUUAAUAUUCAGAACCUCUGAGGCCUGGACCAGUAUCUGAUUUAUGUCAAUUAAAUCUUGGACAACUCUCUUUAAAUGCCAGCAUUUCUCGAUAUCAUGGCCUGGCAUGUCAGAACAGUACGCACACCUCAAAGAAUAAUCGAGAUUCCUCGUAGGUGGAUUUGUAAGCCUUCCUUGAAUUGGUCUUAAGACCUUCAUCUUUCUCAACCUAUCAAAUAAGCUAGCAUAUGACUCCCCAAAAGGUGUGAACAAGUUUUUGACCGCCUUAUCUUUCUUAUACUCGAGCCUGGGUUGGAAACUGGGUGUGGAGUGGUUUUGGUAAUUUAGUGGAGCUGAUGGGCGAUUUGUGGAGCUUGCGUGCGCCAUUGCGGGUAAGAAGGGGUUUGGGCAUAUGGCUGUGUGCUAUAUACUGGGUACGGGGGUAGUGGAAUGAAAUAUAAAGGGUUUUUUGGAGGGUAGUAAUGGUGGGGAGGAAUAUAUGGAGCUUGGGCGUAGACUUGGGCAUGGGAUUGGGGAUACAGGCGAGGUGGUCUUUUUGGAUAGGAAUGGGUUCCAGAUACGACAGUCGCCACGUCCUCUUUCUUCUUUUUACCUCUAAAUACGCCAGAUCCACCUUGAAUCGCUUGUGUGGUGGCUUUUAAUGCUGCAAAACUCUCUAUUCGGCCGGUCUUGAUUCCGUUCUCUAUCAUCUCCCCUAUUUUGAGGACUUCAACAAAAGACUUUCCCAUUGCCGGAAGUAAAUAUUGAAAAUAGGUCUCAUCCUAUGCCUGAAUGAAAACCUUUACCAACUUACUUUCCUUUAUUGGAGGCUUUACCCUGGCGGCUUGUUCACUCCACCUUAUCGAGUAUUCCCUAAAACCUUCAGUGCUUUUCUUCUUCAUGUUGACCAAGGAUUUUUUGUCCGAAAUCAAGUUGAUGUUAUACUGAAAAUAUUGCACAAACUAAGAAGCUAAGUCAUCCCAGCUGUUCCACUUGUUGAUAUCUUGAUCGACAAACCUUUCUGAAGCCAGAUCAGAAAGACUCUCGCCAAAGAAAGCUAUGAGCAACUCUUCCCUCCCCCCUACAGCCCUCAAUUGGUUGCAAUAACGUCUCAAGUGUGCCACGAGUUCACCAUGCCUAACAUACUUCUUGAACUUGGGCAUUUUAAAACUGAGGGGAAGGUUGACGUCGGGGAACAUGCAAAGAUCUUUAUAGGAAACACUCUUAUAACCUCUGAUUCCCUGCAAAUUCCUCAUGGCCUGUUCUAAACUUUUCAACUUCCACGCUAUGACUUCCUGUUCCUCUGUUGCGACAGGUUUCUCCGUAUCAAAUGGAAAUACAGGUGGCUGAGUGUACCCAUACGGUUCAUUCAUUCUCAAAGUAGGCUCGGGGCAUAAUACUGACUAUCUGGAACCUUCAAUACUGGAUCACUGGCAGACCGAGGAAGCCCCAUUAUCGGACGUACAACAUAUAUGGGAGCUUCAAGUGGUGGCGGAGCCACGAACACCGGUGUGAUCGGUGGCGCCGGCUGAGCAGCGGGUCUUGGUUGGGGAGCUGCCAAGGGCACACUAGAAGUGCAAUGACACGGAGUGAAUCCUGGCGCGUGCUCAGGUGACUCAGUGGGAGCAGAGAAUUGCGCCUGAGAGAGAUGUGAACAAUUAGAGAUACUCCCAAGACCUUCAGGGAGUGAAGGAGGAGGCAUGCCACUAGCCCAUGCUCGGUGCAAACCUAUCAGUUGUUGCAUGAGCCUUACUGCCUCAUCAUUUUAUUCUGAACUUUCUUCCCUGGGAUCCUGAUCCGGGUUAAUAAGAGAAUUUUUAAUCUCCCUACUAGCCAUGGCGAGCUUUGCUUUUGAUCUAGUGAAGUGUGGGUGACUAGCCAGAGUGCUGCAAAUCUACCACUGUUAUCUGAAAGGACAUUUUCACCAAAGACAACAUCCAUUAGGAUUAGGUCACACAACAAGCAUAGGAAUCACAUUGGUAAAAUUUCCCUAGAUUCAUGUUCAUUUCUACCAACCUUUGAGGGUAGCGAGGUUAUUUUAACAUUAUCCCAAUUUUCAUCUACACUUCCUCCAAACACACCUCUCUUUUUUUUGCCCUCAUUUCCCUCUCUCUUCUUUUUUCGUAUCAGUCUCUGUUCUUUCCCUUUUUUGUCUCAUCAUCCUUUCUUUCUUUUCUUCUCUCGCUAUCUACCUUCAUUUUAUCAUUCUUUAUGGCUUUUGUUUUUCUUUAAAAGAGGAAAAAUAACAAAAAACAACGAAACAAAAUGAUUAGAUCAAACCCAAAAGUAGGUUGCCUACGUAUCAUGUUGUACAUGAAUCAGAUCUUGCAUAGUUCGGGAUGUAUAUGCUUAAACAUCACACAAUUGAAGGUUUUUUUUCACGAAAAACGAAAACAAAUAAAUAAAAGAAGGACGUAACAUCAUAACAUUUCGAUGAAAGAAACAACAAAAACAUACAACGAAUUUAGUACCACUUUAAAACUAAACAACAAAUACAAAACAACAUUCUAAACCCCUAACGAUAUACGUGCAAUUACUAAUAAAUACCGAAUAUCAAAAACAACUUGACUCCGACUUAACACAGACACCACCCUACAAUGACAGAAACAUAAAAGACUCAAAACUACAUAAAGAUAAGAAAUGCUCUUUCAAACUGGUGCUCUGUGUGACGUCCCCGACUGAGAUGACCCCGUCUGUGAAGUCCUCUCUUUUCCACUCAGACUUUGCAACAUAUCCUGCAAUGACGUUUUGAUACCCGGGAACAAAAUUUUUGCCCGUAUCCCCGCCUCUUGGAGAUUACACCCACAAAGGUUUUUCUGACACCCAUCCACAGUUAUGAUCGAACGUGACAUCUGAACUCUUAAAAACUCCACCAUGGUACCAGAUCUUCCUGCUCAUCAUCCUCUAACAUGAUUGCUUCCCGUAUUCACCCUCUAAGUUGGGCUGGUAAGGGUCUACUAAUGCCACAGGGUAGAGAUUGUAGCCAGGUUUCAUAGUUUUGAGUGUAUCCUAGAUUUUCCUCGAGAGUAUCGACACCUAGCUUUAUUGCGUUAUUCCAGAAUUGCUCAUAUUUUCUUUACCCCACGGCUUGGUUUUUAAAGUACUCUACAUCCUUUAGAAGGUCCAUUAUUGAGGGGACAUCUUGCAUCCUACCCAACUGGCGCAUCACCCUUCUUGGACUGUAAGGCCUAGUAUAGUUAAGUCCUAUCAAAACUAGAAAGAGUUGCAUUUAAGAUCCAAUCAAGAUUUUCUUAGGACGAAACCACAUAUAGCACCAAAGAAUGUUGUCCGGAGUUCUUGAUUUGAGAAAUUCGAUCUAGGAAUUGACUCCCAUAGGAAAAGAAAAUUUGUCAAAAUGCAUUCUCCCUUGCAUGGGUUGCACUCGAUCAUUUAGACAACGGUCAAUCACACCUGGUUUAAUAAAAUAAGGCGUAUGCAAGUGCUCCAUCAUCCAUAACUGCAAUAUCAGAUUACUCCCCUAAAAAAAUCAUACCCCUCCUUAUACUUCAGUUAAAGCCUUAUAUAUUUCUGUUAAGAUCAUUGGUACAAUGGUGACCUCAUCUUUUUUCUUGAAUAAAGCUAUCACCAUUGAUUGUAGACGAGUAUUGAUACACCUCUCAUCUAACGGGAACACUAAGAUACCCAACAAAGCUAGAAAGAAAACCUCAAGACGACGUUGUUCCCAUAUUUUUUUGGUAGUACAGAAUUCAUCCCAAAAGUAGUCGAAACCCUCUAAGGACCCAAAUCUAGCAAACAAAGAGUCCAAGGAAAUCUAAGAUUGUUUGAGACAUCCAGAUGCUUGUUAUCUUUUAAUCCACAGAGUCGAAGGAAUUUUUUACGAGUAUGAUUGCAGGCUAAAAUCAUCUGUUGACCCAUAUAAGUCAACCGAAACAAAUGAGACACUUCUGCCAGGGUAGGAGUCAAUUCACAACUUCCAUACCUAAAAACCAAAUUAUUUGGAUCCCAAAAAGUCAACGCAGCUUCUAUUAGAUCCGAAUGAGGCGUGAGAUCCAUGAGUGCUACAAGAUUGCCUAACACUUUCCUCACUUCGUGCUUUUCAGAGUAAUUGAACGUGCCCCAUCACUUGAUCAACUUUUUGGGAACCUUGACAACCAUAAGGACUCUAGACUUUGUGGACAGAUCCAUCUUGUAGUAACAGAUAAGAAAUUAUCUCAAAAAUUUGAUAAGAGCAAAAGGUUCCCAACCAAUGGGAAUUUGAUACGGACAUACGUCAAUGGGACAGACCGCUUCAUGACUCCAAAUCGCCGAACAGUAACACUGAAUAAAAUCAGCCUACUUAGCUAAUAACUCUAGGUUACGGGGUAAAAGACCUAGCCUAAGACUAAGACGAAGGCCAAAAUAAAGAUUACCGAACCCACCGAGGGUUGCCUACGUAUUCCACCCCAAGGGACGGGAAUCAGGUAUGCGUAGUUCAUCCAAAUUGGACAAAUAAAGAUUAACUAAUAGACUGACCCCUAACUUAAGAGACACAACCAAAGACCGAUGAAUAAAAAAAAAUUGGGGGUUUUAAUUUGACACCAACUAUGAAAGAAAAAUCUUUUUUGAAAAUUUUGAAUUAUGAAUGCGUGGUAAAGGAAUAAAAGGAAUUUUUUUUUGAUAUUUUCGUUAUAUGAAAUGUACAAAACUUCUACCAUUUUUUUUUUUUUUUGCAUUUUCCUUUAUAAAACCUCCUAUUGUAAAAAAAAAUCUUUUUUUUGAAAAUUUUGAAUUGUGAAAAACAAAACCCAUAAAGAACUCUAAAAACUAGAAAACUCUUUUUGGGAAUUUUUUUUCACACACUUUACUUCUAACACAUGCUUUACCCCACAUCAGUCUGUCAAAUGACCACGUUACCCUCAAAGAUGCAACAUUUAGCACAUAGGAAUGCUUUAGAGUUAAGUCUCCUACAAAGGACCAAGUGGGUCCCGCUAGGUCUCGAUAUGAUGCACAUAAGCAUGAUCUAAAGGCUGGCCUACGCUGGGGUUCACUAACAAGGCCGUUCGGGGGAGCAUAUGGUUAAUAGUGGUUGUUUAGCUUUCUACCUACUCCAUGCAUCCAACGGAUCCCCCCCAAAAUAAAGGUGACUCAACUAGAGUUCGUGCGCACGACGUGCACUCCGAGACUUGUUGCAAAAAGAAUGACUCGGGUUAUGCACAUGAUGUCAGAUAUAAAAGCGGUAAAACAUAGGAUAAAUACUGUAAACAAAGAGCACGAAAACGCACAAAAAUGAAAACACAAACAAAAAUCACAAACAAUGCUUAUACACUCAUAAUGCUAAACAAAGCCCAUACGACUCCAAAAAAAGCUCGACUUCUGAAAGUGUUCCCAGCAGAGUCGCCAGAGCUACCACACCCCCUUUUUCAUACUCCAGAAAAAAUUAAUUCUAAAGUUUCAAAAGGAUUUUUAUUGUUAAAGAGACAAAAGUGAAGAUUUGUUUCGAAAAGGACUUUUUAUAUUCAAAACUCAGAGUCGCCACUUGGCAUAAUUCGGUGUGCCAAGUCACCUUUGGACAAUCCUUUUCAAAAUACUUUGACUUUUUAAAACUGGUUUGCGAACAGAGAUUCCAGCUAAGGAAUUCUAUUGACCGAGGGAAAGGUGUUAGGCAUCCCUCAAUCCUGUGGGUUGACCACGAUCGCUUGGUGGAGCAUAUCGACUGAUUUGACACUAAAAACGUAUAAACCACACAAAAACACACAAAACAAUCAAACAAACAAAAAUAAAACAAUCCAAAAAUAUAGUGUCCAGUCCGAAUUAUACAGUCCCAAAAAUAUAAAAAUAUGAAAAUGUAACUCCUAUUCUAAACUAAUUCUAAACUAUGCUCCAAUACCUUACCCAAUACCUCGGGCCUUGAUCACGAACAUCCUCUGAGUACAAAAUACUUUGGGACAUUCCCCGGUGAAUAAAUACAAAUACCUCGGGGUAUUUCCCGGCCAAAUGAUACACUUGAUCCAAAUAAGAUAACAAAAAAAGUUUAAAACACACAUUUAAACAUUCAAAGCA